AGUCCGCCUGAUCCUAACAGUGACACAUACACCGCUCUGAGCAUGAGAACCAGGUCACCAGAGUACGACCCCACAGCAAGUCCCUUGUGAUGUAAGGAGUGAGUGACAAAGGGGCAGAGGAAUCUGACACUGACCUGUAGCACCACCUGUACUCUGACACCUCCACCUACAUCUGGUUCACCAACUCAAAGUGACCUGUAGCACCACCUGUACUCUGACACCUCCAUCUACAUCUGGUACACCGACUCAAAGUGACCUGUAGCACCACCUGUACUCUGACACCUCCAUCUACAUCUGGUACACCGACUCAAAGUGACCUGUAGCACCACCUGUACUCUGACAACUCCACCUACAUCUGGUACACCAACUCAAAGUGACCUGUAGCACCACCUGUACUCUGACACCUCCAUCUACAUCUGGUACACCGACUCAAAGUGACCUGUAGCACCACCUGUACUCUGACAACUCCACCUACAUCUGGUACACCAACUCAAAGUGACCUGUAGCACCACCUGUAUUCUGACACCGCCACCUACAUCUGGUACACCAACUCAAAGUGACCUGUAGCACCACCUGUACUCGGACACCUCCACCUACAUCUGGUACACCAACUCAAAGUGACCUGUAGCACCACCUGUACUCUGACAACUCCACCUACAUCUGGUACACCAACUCACAGUGACCUGUAGCACCACCUGUACUCUGACAACUCCACCUACAUCUGGUACACCAACUCAAAGUGACCUGUAGCACCACCUGUACUCUGACAACUCCACCUACAUCUGGUACACCAACUCAAAGACCCAGUCAGCAGUGAGGAUGCAGGCAGAUACUCCUAAACAGUAAGAAGGACCUGAAUGUCUCCAGUCUCCUGGACAGACCAUGACCCCUACUGCAGCAAAGAGAGUGGACACAGGCGAGCAGGAUGAUGUUCACUACACAGGCGAGCAGGAUGACGUUCACUACACAGGCGAGCAGGAUGAUGUUCACUGUAAAAGGCCACAAGGAUCUGCACUCUCCUGCAGUGUGUGUUCUGAGAAAGAACUGUUUCAACGUGACUUACACCCAUCAGAGUAUCUGUGCCUUGAAGGGAUCAACAGUGGAACUUCCCUGCACAUAUCAACAUCCAAGUUAUCAUGUAGUCUCAGAACCAAACUGGUAUAUCCAAGAUAAAUAUAAUGAGACGCCUAAAAUCCUGAGCUCGGUGCCAGAGUAUGCAGGUCGUGCUGAGUACCUUGGGACUAAAGAGAAAGACUGCACCCUGAGAAUCACAGACCUGAGAGAGAGUGACUCAGCUGAGUACUGGUUCGCAUUCAAGACUCGGACGCAACUCGAUUGGUAUAAUUUCCUUCAAAGAGAGGAGCGUGUCAGGCUGUCUGUCACAGACCCAGUCAGCAGAGAGGAUGCAGGCAGCUACUCCUGUAUUGCAAAAGGAUAUGAGAAUCUCCACUCUGCUGAAGAGACUCUGACUGUCAUUUGUAAGUAUUUGUAA
rnacentral:lncRNA from 1 species